rnacentral:misc_RNA from 1 species
GGAGAUUCUCGUCCUCAUACAGGGCAAGAAGGUUGCAGAGACGAGGGUUCGCGGCGGCCGGGCUGCUAGUCUCGCCUUUGGCUCCGGUCAGGUAGAACCAGAGUGGGCUUCCGUUUCCUCCUACUGUAGGAGGCAUGGGGUCAAUCGAGGUCCGGUUCAGUGUCGGAAGAGAUGGAGUAAUUUGGCUGGUGAUUUCAAGAAGAUCAAGGAGUGGGAAUCCCAAAUUAGGGAAGAUACUGAAUCCUUUUGGGUUAUGAGAAACGAUUUGAGACGCGAGAGGAAAUUGCCAGGGUUUUUCGACAGAGAGGUUUAUGAUAUUUUGGAUUCCGGCUCCGGUCCUUCGCCGUCCCCUGCUCUCGCUCUCGCCCUUACUCCUGUUCCUCUUCCUGCUCCACCCGUCGCUCUCAAUUCCGAUGACGCCAAGCCCGACGUCGAGCCGGAACCCGUCUUCGACAGUUCUAAAACUGCGGCGGCCGACGACGGUUUGUUUUCCGAUUUUGAGCAGGAUGAAACUAGCCGAAGCCCCUUGAAGGAAGUCGCCGGGAAGGAGGUUCCAGCACCGACGGCUGAUGGGGCAAUUCCUGCUCCGACACCUUUAUCAGAGAAGCUAUACCAACCUGCUGGUCAAGAGUGUCCUCACCAAGGCACCACAAAUGAAAAAGAAGCAGCAGCAAAUCCCGAGAUAGGAUCGACGUCGUCACAAGAGGGACGGAAACGAAAGCGUGUUGCAUUAGAUGGGGACGAGGAAACCAUCCUACAGGAUGAAUUGAUUGGGAUCCUUGAAAAGAAUGGGAAACUGCUGACUGCCCAACUCGAAGCUCAAAACAUGAACUUCCAGCUGGACCGAGAGCAGCGAAAGCACCACGCGGAUGGGUUAGUCGCAGUCCUUAACAAGCUUGCAGAUGCUCUAGGCAGGAUCGCGGAUAAGCUGUAGAAAAGCAGUGAAAUGGAGAUGAGUAGAUGUACAUAAGCAACAACAUUUUUCUCUCCUGGAGUAAUGAUAGACACAUAAG